UACGUAGGGUGCGAGCGUUGUCCGGAAUUAUUGGGCGUAAAGAGCUCGUAGGCGGUCAGUCGCGUCUGCUGUAAAAACUCGGGGCUUAACUCCGGGCCUGCAGUGGGUACGGGCUGACUAGAGUGCGGUAGGGGAGACUGGAAUUCCUGGUGUAGCGGUGAAAUGCGCAGAUAUCAGGAGGAACACCGGUGGCGAAGGCGGGUCUCUGGGCCGUAACUGACGCUGAGGAGCGAAAGCGUGGGGAGCGAACAGG
rnacentral:rRNA from 1 species